rnacentral:rRNA from 1 species
GCAUAUCAAUAAGCGGAGGAAAAGAAACCAACAGGGAUUGCCCUAGUAACGGCGAGUGAAGCGGCAACAGCUCAAAUUUGAAAUCUGGCUCUCUUUGGGGGUCCGAGUUGUAAUUUGCAGAGGAUGCUUUGGCAUUGGCGGCGGUCUAAGUUCCUUGGAACAGGACAUCACAGAGGGUGAGAAUCCCGUACGUGGUCGCCUGCCUUUGCCGUGUAAAGCUCCUUCGACGAGUCGAGUUGUUUGGGAAUGCAGCUCUAAAUGGGAGGUAAAUUUCUUCUAAAGCUAAAUACCGGCCAGAGACCGAUAGCGCACAAGUAGAGUGAUCGAAAGAUGAAAAGUACUUUGGAAAGAGAGUCAAAAAGCACGUGAAAUUGUUGAAAGGGAAGCGCUUGCAGCCAGACUUGCCCGCAGUUGCUCACCUAGGCUUUGGCCUGGGGCACUCUUCUGCGGGCAGGCCAGCAUCAGUUUGGGCGGUUGGAUAAAGGCCUCUGUCACGUAUCUUCCUUCGGGAUGACCUUAUAGGGGAGGCGUAAUGCAACCAGCCCGGACUGAGGUCCGCGCAUCUGCUAGGAUGCUGGCGUAAUGGCUGUAAGCGGCCCGUCUUGAAACACGGACCAAGGAGUCUAACAUCUAUGCGAGUGUUUGGGUGUCAAGCCCGGGCGCGCAAUGAAAGUGAACGGAGGUGGGAACCCUUUGGGUGCACCAUCGACCGAUCCUGAUGUCUUCGGAUGGAUUUGAGUAAGAGCAUAGCUGUUGGGACCCGAAAGAUGGUGAACUAUGCUUGAAUAGGGUGAAGCCAGAGGAAACUCUGGUGGAGGCUCGCAGCGGUUCUGACGUGCAAAUCGAUCGUCAAAUUUGGGCAUAGGGGCGAAAGACUAAUCG